ACAAGGGGAAGAUUUAAACAACUCCUUAGGGUCGAAUUCAUUGUUUUGGACCCCUUCUUCAUUAAACAACACUUUAGAACUCUUUUUCACUUCUUUUCAACUCUUUUCGCAUUCUUUUCACAUUUUUCUUUUCUUUUUUUUUUUUUUUUCUUUUUACCCGUGCCUAUGGCACAUAAUUCCUUAUGAAAAACACUUCCCCCACACUUGUUUUCUGCCACAAAGGAAUUCAAUUUGAAUCAUGCUUUACUACGCCUUAAGAACAAGGUUAAUGGAUAGUCCUAAUCUAAGCUAGGUGAGGGUAAUGUGGGUUACAAAGAAAAGGCUCACAAAGCUCAACGGGAUUAAAACGUACAAAACAUAAUGACAUAGGGGAUUCACGGCUUUUUGGUUAUGGUGGUGGUCACUACA
rnacentral:lncRNA from 1 species